UACGUAGGGGGCAAGCGUUGUCCGGAUUUAUUGGGCGUAAAGAGCGUGUAGGCGGCCAGACAGGUCCGUUGUGAAAACUCGAGGCUCAACCUCGAGAUGUCGAUGGAAACCGUCUGGCUAGAGUCCGGAAGAGGAGUGUGGAAUUCCUGGUGUAGCGGUGAAAUGCGCAGAUAUCAGGAAGAAUAUCCGUGGCGAAGGCGGCUCUCUGGGACGGUACUGACGCUGAGACGCGAAAGCGUGGGGAGCGAACAGG
rnacentral:rRNA from 1 species